GAGAACUAGGCCCCAAAAGUGUUUUGAAAGGUUCGUAGAGCCUUAGAAAACACUUUGGUUUCCUUCACCAAUAAAUCAAAUGAUUAUGAUAUAUUAUAAAUAUUUUAGCUUGGCUUGAUAAGCUUGUGGCAUGGGAGCUGAGCAUUCAUGAGUUUAGCAUACAAGAGAGAAGACUUGGAUUUCCUAUGAGAAACAGAGGUUUAAAGCAAGGGGAGAGGGAAUUUUGGGAGGAUUUGUUGAGGGAAAUGAGGAAAAGAUGAAGGUGGAAGAAUG
rnacentral:lncRNA from 1 species